UACAGAGGGGGCAAGCGUUGUUCGGAAUUACUGGGCGUAAAGCGUGCGCAGGCGGUUCUCCAAGUCAGUGGUGAAAGCCCGGAGCUCAACUCCGGAACUGCCAUUGAAACUGUAGAGCUAGAGUACGAGAGAGGUGAGUGGAAUUCCCAGUGUAGAGGUGAAAUUCGUAGAUAUUUGGAAGAACACCGGUGGCGAAGGCGGCUCACUGGCUCGUAACUGACGCUCAUGCACGACAGCGUGGGGAUCAAACAGG
rnacentral:rRNA from 1 species